AUUGAACGCUGGCGGCAUGCCUUACACAUGCAAGUCGAACGGCAGCACGGGAGCAAUCCUGGUGGCGAGUGGCGAACGGGUGAGUAAUAUAUCGGAACGUGCCCAGUCGUGGGGGAUAACGCAGCGAAAGAUGUGCUAAUACCGCAUACGAUCUAUGGCUGAAAGCGGGGGAUCGCAAGACCUCGCGCGAUUGGAGCGGUCGAUAUCAGAUUAGGUAGUUGGGGGGGUAAAGGCUCACCAAGCGGACGAUCUGUAGCUGGUCUGAGAGGACGACCAGCCACACUGGAACUGAGACACGGUCCAGACUCCUACGGGAGGCAGCAGUGGGGAAUUUUGGACAAUGGGCGCAAGCCUGAUCCAGCAAUGCCGCGUGCAGGAUGAAGGCCUUCGGGUUGUAAACUGCUUUUGUACGGAGCGAAAAGGCUCUCUCUAAUACAGGGGGCUCAUGACGGUACCGUAAGAAUAAGCACCGGCUAACUACGUGCCAGCCGCCGCCGUAAUAC
rnacentral:rRNA from 1 species